GCGGACGUGGUGCACGGUGCACCACUGCCUUCAAUUAUCGUCCAACCUGUUGGAAGCAGUUGAAGGGGUUCGACUCUCCGCGUCCGCA